rnacentral:rRNA from 1 species
AGCGAACGCUGGCGGCAGGCCUAACACAUGCAAGUCGAACGGACCUUUCGGGGUUAGUGGCGGACGGGUGAGUAACACGUGGGAACGUGCCUUUAGGUUCGGAAUAGCUCCUGGAAACGGGUGGUAAUGCCGAAUGUGCCCUUCGGGGGAAAGAUUUAUCGCCUUUAGAGCGGCCCGCGUCUGAUUAGCUAGUUGGUUGAGGUAACGGCUCACCAAGGCGACGAUCAGUAGCUGGUCUGAGAGGAUGGCCAGCCACAUUGGGACUGAGACACGGCCCAAACUCCUACGGGAAGCAGCAGUGGGGAAUCUUGCGCAAUGGGCGAAAGCCUGACGCAGCCAUGCCGCGUGAAUGAUGAAGGUCUUAGGAUUGUAAAAUUCUUUCACCGGGGACGAUAAUGACGGUACCCGGAGAAGAAGCCCCGGCUAACUUCGUG